UACGGGGGGGGCAAGCGUUGUUCGGAAUUACUGGGCGUAAAGGGUUCGUAGGUGGCCAACUAAGUCAGACGUGAAAUCCCUCAGCUUAACUGGGGAACUGCGUCUGAUACUGGUUGGCUUGAGUGCAGGAGAGGAACGCGGAAUUCCAGGUGUAGCGGUGAAAUGCGUAGAUAUCUGGAGGAACACCGGCGGCGAAGGCGGCGUUCUGGACUGCAACUGACACUGAGGAACGAAAGCCAGGGGAGCAAACGGG
rnacentral:rRNA from 1 species